rnacentral:lncRNA from 1 species
UUAGGGCAAAAUAAAAACGAAAUUAAAAAGAUGACAAACUCAAUCUGAUUUGAAAAAGAGAAAAAAACUAAAGAAAAAAAAAUGAAAAAAAAAAAGAACUUUGAAGGAAGGUUGUCAUGCCACUUGGAGAAACUCCAAGUAUUGGUUAACAAGUAGGAAGACUUGGAAAAAGGUGGCUAACACUAAUAUGCCUAUCAACUACUAUGGUGGUCAUCAUUGUUAUGGCACGCACUGUGGCAUGUUCUAUGGUGCCUAGCCUAUGUUGUUGGCCAACUACAGAUCGAUAGUGAGAUUAUGAUGCUAUUCAGUUACGAAUGCUCGUAAUAGAAAUUCUGAUCUUCGUUAUCGGGAAUAAGAUCCAUAAUUUACUUAAGGGAUCCUAGUACUAGUGGUGAUUAGGGUUCUGUCUUUCGUGAUCGUUAGGAAGAGUCAGAUGCUAGUGAUCUAUAUUUUGAUGUUUGGGAUCGAAAGAUUCUGAUGUUCGUAAGCAAGACCCGGAUCCUCCAGUAGCACGAGCAACAACAAAUAAGCUACCACCUGAUNCAGUCUUUCGAUCUUUUUGGGUUGCAUGCCCAAUGCAAUGUUUUUUUUAAUUGAGAUGGAUUGAUCUUCGCUAUCGUGUCUCUUCCAUCCCUUCGGUCCUCGUUCUAACUUAGAACUUAUAGCAUAUAGGCUACCUACG